GCCGGGUGUGGUGGCGCGCGCCUGUAAUCCCAGCUACUUAGGAGGCUGAGGCAGGAGAAUCGCUUGAACCCAGGAGGCGGAGGUUGCAGUGAGCCGAGAUUACGCCACCGCACUCCAGCCUGGGCAACAGAGCGAGACUCCAUCUCAA
rnacentral:sRNA from 1 species